GUAGAUAGCAGUUGUGGGAACGAAGAAGAGACUGGAAUCUGUAAAACAAAUUGGACAGAGAGGUCCAACUUUAGUUACUAUUUCUGGGUGGAAGAGAUACAUCACAGGGUCCGAGGACCCCAUAUUGAACUUUUUGCAUUGGGUUUAGGGAUUGUAUUUUCUCACCUCUUUCUGAAAGAGUUACAUUUUUUUCAAAUGCUCAACUGUUCAUUACCUCUCGGACUGUUACUUACAAUCCUUCUUAAUUCCCCCUUUCACUAUCUGCUCCUAGAUUUCUAUCCUUUUAGAGCCAAUGACUAAGGAAAGCACAAACAUGGAUCGCUCAACUUUAGUUUCCCUAGCAGGAACCUUGUCCUUGUUCACUAUGCUGCAUAUACUCUCAUUACCCUUCCAUAUCCACUAUUCAUCUUUUUUGCCCUGUUCUGUGUUCCAAGAGGUUAGGCUGUAUGGGUAGCAUCACUCAAUCUCCCUUGUUCUCUGGCUUCCCAUUAGAAUAGACCAGUGGGAGGCACUAGCAGAUCUUUGGCAGUGUCUGGAAUUCCUCACCUAAAGCCAUGGCUCCUGUUGAAGCUAUAGCUCUCUCCUUUGGGUACAAGUCUCAUGGUUCCAGUAACUGUCCCUUCAGGUUUAAGGCUGGUAAAGGCGUCCUACUUUGCGAGUGCCUGGGUACAUCACCAUAUCUUGUUGAUUUAUUAAACUUGCCCAUACCUUUGCAAAUAGUUUCUUCAUUAAAACAUGUCCACUGGCCCUUUGAGUAUACCAUCUGUUUCCUGCUAGAACCUUGACUACUUUAAUCACUUUCUUUUUCACUAGAUUUUGUUCAUAUGUCUUGCUUUGUCAUUUCUUUGGAAUCUAUUUCUAAUUCUUUCCAUGCCCAGCAUCCUGCACCUUAGUUCAGACCUUCAACAACUCAAAUAAUACGUAGCGAACACCUAUACUAUACUAUACCAGGAUCUGUGACAAUUGCCUUUCCCUCAAGCUUUAAAAAUCUCUUAACUGAUUUAAUGUCUUAUGUCUCAAUUCUACUACCAGAUUGAUAUUAAUUAAUAGUACUUUACUUAGAUUCUUUCCUCCAUCAAACAUCUUCAGUGGUUCCUGACUGCCUAAAGAAAAAAAUAAUGAACACUUUAGCCUGAUAUUCAGUCCCCCUAUUUUCUGGCUUUACCUUAGCUUUCCAUCCUAUUCACCUAUAAUGCCUCUGUUUUAGGUUUACUGUUCCCAAAAUAUGCCUUGUGCUUUCUUCUCAUGACACUUUCUUCAUGCUGUACUUCCUACAAAGAGACCUGUUUCUCUUUACUUACUUAAAUGCUAUUUGGUUUUUCAAUGUUGAACCCAACUCUCAACUCCUCUUCCUAGACCUUAACAAGUGAAAUAGUCUCUCCCUCCUCAAAACAGUGAUGUUUAUUGUCUGUUCUCUUUUUUAAUAGUAAUUAUGUCAUGCUCGUUAUCUAACUCUUUUAUAGUUAUUUAACAAGAUAUACAAGCUCCACUGCAUACUUUAGGCCAUUUCUUUCUCUCUUUGCUUUCUUUCCCUCCUGCUAAUUUAUCAAACAUCAUACAUGUCGGGCACUAUAUGAGGUGCUGGGCUGUACUCGUGACCAAACACUUGACAUGAAUCCCAUUCAUGUGACACUUGAAGUCUAGUAAGCUACACAGACAUUAGUCAAAUAAAUUGACAAAUAAUAUACAAAUGCAGCUGUGGUAAGUGCUCUAGCUUUUAAGGGGAUUUAUUUGAUCUCAGAUGGGCAUAGUGUAAGAGUUAAGAAGGUUGGCCAGGCACAGUGGCUCACGCCUGUAAUCCCAGCACUUUGGGAGGCUGAGAUGGGUGAAUCACCUGAGGUCAGGGGUUCGAGACCAGCCUUACCAAUAUGGUGAAACCCUGUCUCUACUAAAAUUACAAAAGUUAGCCAUGCGUGUUGGCGUGUGCCUGGAGUCCCAGCUACUCAGGAGGCUGAGGCAGGAGAGUCGCUUGAACCCGAGAGGUGGAGGUUGCAGUAAGCUGAGAUCGUGCCACUGCACUCCAGUCUGGGCUACAGAGCAAGACUCCGUCUCAAAAAAAAAAAAAACAAGAAAAUUGGAAGUUGGCAAGCAGUGGGGAGAGUUCCACAGAAGGAAUAGCAGGUGGAAAGUGCCAUGAUUGUACAUCCCUUGAUUCAUGCAUCAUGUCUUAUAUUUCUUUGUCAGCUGAAUGAUACCUUCCACAUAAUAGGGACUCAGCGUUUGCUGAUUUUUCUUGAACCUUAAUGUAUUCUAACCAAACAUGUUAGAUUGAUACCAUCCCUUCCCUAGUUCCUGUCCCUGUGAAAUGUUUCCCACAGAGAUCUCACUCUUUUUGGAACAUUCUGCUAAUGUUAUAUCUGGCAUUAGUACAUGGUACCUGCUAUUGCUUUUCAUUAUAUUUGUUAUAUGCUACUUGUUUUAUUUCUGUUUUCUAACAAGUUUAUAGGUUUCUUCAACCUUUUAGGCCUUUUAGGAACAAUACAUGUCCUAUAUCUUAUAUGUCUCAUAUGUCUUAGGAUUCAUUCCUAGUAUUUCCUAAAUGUUGUACUUAAGUAUUUAUUGAUCAUGGUAAGAGACCCAAUUUUCUCCCUCCUCCUCUCUCUCUCCUUCCACUUCUGGGGAACAAGAGUCAGCGAUCAUAGGGUCUUUUGCCUCUCAUCAGAGAAAAUUCAGGCCUGGAUAUUAACAACCAGACCUUUCUCAGGCUACUGACAGACAAGGGUAGAAGAGAAAUCCAUUUAUUUGAGAUUUGAGGGAAGAAAUGCCUGGUGAUUAAAGGAAUAAGCUUACAAAGAACCUUGAGGAUAUAUAAGGAAAACUGGCAACAAGACUACAUGGUAGCAUGGAAGGGAAAUUGGGCUUGUGAUCACUGGCCAAAAGGGACAAUGCCCAGGAUCCAAAGCAACUUGACUUUUAUGGAUUAAGCUGAGCCAAUUUUCAUACUUCUGGGUCUUAAAGUUUUUUUCAGUAUUGUCCCAUGAAAACCGAAUGUGAAAGGAACUCGCUAAAGCAUGAGAGAAAAACAGAAGGGGCUUGGCCAUGCAGUCAGAAGUUCUUCCAGCACAGCCGAAUUCAACCCUCCACACUCAUGGACUUGAAAUCCUUCAUCAGCUAUCUCACUUCCAUGUUGAAACCAGGACCACUGAUUGUA
rnacentral:lncRNA from 1 species